ensembl:misc_RNA Y_RNA Y RNA
GGCUGGUCCGAAGGUACUGAGUUAUCUCAAAUGAUUGUUCACAGUCAGUACAGAUUGAACUCCUUGUCCUACUCCUUCUCACUACUGCACUUGACUAGUCUUAA